GUGGGGAAUAUUGGGCAAUGGGGGCAACCCUGACCCAGCAACGCCGCGUGAAGGAAGAAGGCUUUCGGGUUGUAAACUUCUUUGACCAGGGACGAAACAAAUGACGGUACCUGGAAAACAAGCCACGGCUAACUACGUGCCAGCAGCCGCGGUAAUACGUAGGUGGCAAGCGUUGUCCGGAUUUACUGGGUGUAAAGGGCGCGUAGGCGGGACUGCAAGUCAGAUGUGAAAUCUGGGGGCUUAACCUCCAAACUGCAUUUGAAACUGUGGUUCUUGAGUGAUGGAGAGGCAGGCGGAAUUCCUAGUGUAGCGGUGAAAUGCGUAGAUAUUAGGAGGAACACCAGUGGCGAAGGCGGCCUGCUGGACAUUAACUGACGCUGAGGCGCGAAAGCGUGGGGAGCAAACAGGAUUAGAAACCCGAGUAGUCC
rnacentral:rRNA from 1 species